AAAGCGCGCGUAGGUGGCUUGAUAAGCCGGUUGUGAAAGCCCCGGGCUCAACCUGGGAACGGCAUCCGGAACUGUCAAGCUAGAGUACAGGAGAGGAAGGUAGAAUUCCCGGUGUAGCGGUGAAAUGCGUAGAGAUCGGGAGGAAUACCAGUGGCGAAGGCGGCCUUCUGGACUGAUACUGACACUGAGGUGCGAAAGCGUGGGUAGCAAACAGGAUUAGAUACCCUGGUAGUCCACGCCGUAAACGAUGUCGACCAGCCGUUGGGUGCCUAGCGCACCUUGUGGCGAAGUUAACGCGAUAAGUCGACCGCCUGGGGAGUACGGCCGCAAGGUUAAAACUCAAAUGAAUUGACGGGGGCCCGCACAAGCGGUGGAGCAUGUGGUUUAAUUCGAUGCAACGCGAAGAACCUUACCUACCCUUGACAUCCUGCGAACCCGGAAGAGAUUCCGGGGUGCCUUCGGGAACGCAGAGACAGGUGCUGCAUGGCUGUCGUCAGCUCGUGUUGUGAAAUGUUGGGUUAAGUCCCGUAACGAGCGCAACCCUUGUCCUUAUUUGCCAGCGAGUAAUGUCGGGAACUCUAAGGAGACUGCCGGUGACAAACCGGAGGAAGGUGGGGACGACGUCAAGUCAUCAUGGCCCUUACGGGUAGGGCUACACACGUGCUACAAUGGCCGGUACAAAGGGCUGCGAACUCGCGAGAGCAAGCGAAUCCCUUAAAGCCGGUCUCAGUCCGGAUCGGAGUCUGCAACUCGACUCCGUGAAGUCGGAAUCGCUAGUAAUCGUG
rnacentral:rRNA from 1 species